CCAUACAAACCAAGCCACAAAUGCACAUUCAGACAACAGUGUGGCUGCCAUCCUCUCUCAGCCUCCCCCCCCAAAAAAAUCCAAUGGGCAGGUGGUUGCCAUUGAAAACCUCUUUCCUGUCCAGGCAAGCAACAAGGCAAGAAGCAGCAGCUUAAGUCUAAUUUGGCCACCUCUCUUAGGGGUGAUAGGUGUGUUGCUCCCUGUGGCUUGUAUUAGAGUUGGCUGAAAUAAGCCCAGCUACUUAUUUAAGAACAAAACAAAAGCAGGAAGUAGCUGGGCUUUUAUCUCAGUAAAUCUAAAAUUGAUUCCCUAACUCUCUCACCCACUCCUGCACUGAUUUCUGGUGCUGUAGCAAUCUUGUUUGGCAGCAGAUGGGAAGCUUCAGGGAGACAUGUUUGAUAUGCUGCAUACUAAAACUGCACUAGUUGCAACAGGGGGGAGGCUAUUCCUGCAGCUGCUGCAGUACUUCUCUUAAUUUGUGGUUAAAGGAAAGCAGGUUUGUGUGGGUUUGACUUGUAAUACUUCAUAUAUCAACCCCCAGAACUCUUUAUUUCCACAGCUAGAAAGCUGAGUUUGAUUGCAUUGUUAUUCCUUAAGUGAUGCCCUCUAACUACUGAUUAUGAGGACUUAAAGCAAAUUUUGUCUAGGAAGUGUCCUAGCAGUGUAAACUGUUACAAACCAAUGCAGACUUUCAGACAUUGCUCAUUAAGUAGAACCUAUUUUACCUCUGAUAAUGCUUUAAGUUAUGUUGGAAGAGAUUGAAGCUUGGUUGCACUCUAAAAGAUUGUGGAUUUUGAUUGUGAGAGCAAAAGAGAUGAGAUAAACGAAAGGCUAUAUAACAAACCACAAUUUAUCCCCUCUGUAGAGCUCCAAAACUGUAAAAGCAACUCAUCAGCAUAUGGGUUAAAAGCCUAUUUCAAUCCUGUUCAUACAAAAGCAUAGAGGAUUUGAGUUAUAACUAGAGGUUUUAGAAAAAAAUUGUGUUUGCUUCUAGUGAAUUCCUAAAACAAUUGGUUGAUUUUCAAUAAUAAGCAAAUUUGCAUUCUGAAAUACUGAUGUGACAUGCAAAUCAUUAAGUGUUCAAGGAACUGUAUUUUUCUAAUUCCUUAUGCAAGUACAGCAUUUUCAAAAUUACUGUCUGAAGCCUUUUGUGCCAUUUGAUGAAUUAAAAAAACUUGCUAUUUCCAGUGUUAAAAAGGAGUUACCAGCUCCCUCAUCUACUGUUUAUAAAUUGAAGGGGUAUGUUUAUUUUUCCUCUGCUGAUGGCGCUUUGUUGUAAGACCCAUGCCCCUAGCCCUCAGUUGCACUUUAAUAAAGUCAGUUUUGAAGAAAA